rnacentral:lncRNA from 1 species
ACAGGCACACCCCGGCCGGCGAUAAAAACCGCCGCUGAAAGCCCACGGAGCAAUUUCCCGGGACCCCGAGCGACGCCAUUACAGGAAUGUAAUUUUGCCCGGAUGAGGCCCCGAGUUUAAUUAUCCUCGCGGAGGAAUUUCAAUGCGGCCAAUCCAUCUUGCAGGCGGGCGGCAGAGGGAUUUAUAUGGGCCCGUUAUUUCACACCGAUCCUCCAUCUGCAUUUUUAUGGCCCUGAGCUCCUGAAAGGGAGGG